GCUUUUCCAGCACCACACAAUCGACUCACUUGCAAUCACACCCUGUUGUCACUGUCAUAACUGAAUUUGAAUGACUUAAUCUGCCAGAGGUCACUGCCUCCGGAAACAAAAUGUCCAGGUCACUCUCCCCCUGCCGGAUGUGCUGCAGUGUUUGAAGCUCAGAUUCCAGAUCAUCAACUCUGAGCCGGAGUUCCUCCAGCAACCAACACUUGCUGCAGAUGUGGUCACUGCAGUUCACACUGGGAUCAGCCAGCUCCUACAUCAUACAACUAUAGCACAUCAUCUGCCCAGCCACCUCAACUUAGUUAAUUACUUUCAUUAAUUUAUAUAAAUUUAUGAACUGAAAGGGAAGACUAGAUAAUCAUUUCUGUCAAACGUUUGUCUGAAAUGUGUGUGUGUGUCCCUUCUGCUGACAGUCUGUCUGUGUUCCUCUCUCUGCCUCUGUCUCUGCAGGUUGUCAUCAAUCCGAACUAUGAGGUGGUGGAGACGGACUAUUCCAACAAUGUCGUCAAGUGUCGCUGCAAAUACGAUGGACAUCGCAUCUGGGCUUACAACUGUCAUGUUGGUGGCUCUUUCAGCUUGGAGUCCGAAGAGAUCUUUGAAAACUUCCCCGGAUUAAUCAGUAACCGUCUGUCGACCUGGUAAGGCCACAAGAGAGAUGACCACUUCAGUAAUACUGACCAAAGACCAAGGGAUGCCCGGUGAAGCAUGGACUGAUAGCCAUGCAUGGUUGUCAAUGCAAUAUUGGUGCUACUGUCUCCAGUGUAAGGAUAGUGUGCUGCAGGAAUACAAAUCCAUCCUCUUGUGCUGUCUGGCGUCAGCUCCAUUGCACCCAACUGCUUGGAGCCACUUCACCAAGACUAAAGAUUCACACUUCCACUUCAGUCUGAAGCUAUGUCCUUUUAUCUCUCUCCUUCCCCCUCUCUCUCUCUCUCUCUCUCUCUCCCCCUGCCUCUCUGUCUGUGUAUGGCUAUGGCUGCUAGACACAGGCAAAGCCGUUGUCAUUGGUGCUGAGGAGAGAGUGAGAUCCAGCAGAGAGAGAGAGAGAGAGCCACAGUUAAGGAGACGUGCUGCUUAAAAUGUCUUCAGGUUCUUGUGACCUCGAGUCCUCCAAAGGGCAAGGCCAUAUCUCAGUCAGCGGGUAGCCAGGGGGUGGGGGCUGCUGUUCACCUCACUGCUGACCCGAAUGGUGUGCAGAUACCAGCACCUUCUGCAACCAGACUUCUACGGUUCACUUAAAAUUGAUCUCUCUCAAGCUCUCUGUAAGCCGACUCAAUCCCGUCUGCUUUGUAUGUGACAGGGCGUUGCAGCAAUGUGUCCUGAGGUUGGAUAUUUACCUGAAUUUUAAAGAAAAAAAACCCCUCCGUCAGUAAUAAAGCCAGUUACAGUGA